AACGAACGCUGGCGGCAUGCCUAACACAUGCAAGUCGAACGAGACCUUCGGGUCUAGUGGCGCACGGGUGCGUAACGAGUGGGAACGUGCCCUUAGGUUCGGAAUAACUCCCCGAAAGGGGUGCUAAUACCGGAUAAUGUCUUCGGACCAAAGAUGUAUCGCCUUUGGAUGGGCCCGCGUUGGAUGAGCUAGUUGGUAGGGUAAAAGCCUACCAAGGCGACGAUCCAUAGCUGGUCUGAGAGGAUGAUCAGCCACACUGGGACUGAGACACGGCCCAGACUCCUACGGGAGGAAGCAGUGGGGAAUAUUGGACGAUGGGCGAAAGCCUGAUCCAGCAAUGCCGCGUGAGUGAUGAAGGCCUUAGGGUUGUAAAGCUCUUUUAGCCGGGAUGAUAAUGACAGUACCGGGAGAAUAAGCGCCGGCUAACUCCGUG
rnacentral:rRNA from 1 species